UACGUAGGGGGGCUAGCGUUGUCCGGAUUUAUUGGGCGUAAAGAGCGUGUAGGCGGCCAGAUAGGUCUGCUGUGAAAACUCGAGGCUCAACCUCGAGAUGUCGGCGGAAACCAUUUGGCUAGAGUCCGGAAGAGGAAAGUGGAAUUCCUGGUGUAGCGGUGAAAUGCGCAGAUAUCAGGAGGAACACCGGUGGCGAAGGCGGGUCUCUGGGCAGUAACUGACGCUGAGGAGCGAAAGCGUGGGGAGCGAACAGG
rnacentral:rRNA from 1 species